AACGAACGCUGGCGGCAUGCCUAACACAUGCAAGUCGAACGAGACCUUCGUGUCUAGUGGCGCACGGGUGCGUAACGCGUGGGAACCUGCCCUUAGGCUCGGAAUACCUCCCCGAAAGGGGUGCUAAUACCGGAUAAUUUCUUCUGACCAAAGAUUUAUCGCCUUUGGAUGGGCCCGCGUUGGAUUAGCUAGUUGGUAGUGUAAAAGCCUACCAAGGCGACGAUCCAUAGCUGGUCUGAGAGGAUGAUCAGCCACACUGGGACUGAGACACGGCCCAGACUACUACGGGAGGCAGCAGUGGGGAAUAUUGGAAAAUGGGCGAAAGGCUGAUCCAGCAAUGCCGCGUGAGUGAUGAAGGCCUUAGGGUUGUAAAGCUCUUUUAUCCGGGAUGAUAAUGACAGUACCGGGAGAAUAAGCACCGGCUAACUCCGUG
rnacentral:rRNA from 1 species